rnacentral:lncRNA from 1 species
ACAGCCAUUACUGACCAGCAUGCAUUCUCUUGCUCUCAGCCUCUCUUUGCUUAAAUGCUUCUUGGACUAGAGAGUUAGCUGGACUUCCCUUUCAGUCAAAAUCUAUUGAGAACUUCGAAAAGUCCUGGGUGAGACAGAGUAGGGAGUAUUUCCCUCUAACAUCUUCCCUCUUUAUCAACUGUCCCAACUUGCCUUAUACCCUGGCCUUCCCAAUUCCUGGGCCUAGGAAGGAUGGCUGAUGGGCCUAUGUGAGGUGGCUGUCUGCAAGCCAGGAAGUGAGCCUUCAUCAGACAACAGAUCUACUGGCACCUUGAUCUUGGACUUCUGGCCUCCAGAACUGUGAUAAAUACAUGUUGGUUGUUUAUGGCAAUUUGGUACAGCAGUUCAAACUGCAUAGCAAGUACCAUGUGCCAGGCAAGGAUCUAAAUGCUUUAAUUCAGUUCCUCCUUGCAACCAUCUCCAUUUUACAGUUGAGGAAGCCAAAGCACAGAAAGGCUAAGUCACUUCUGAAAGGUCACGCAGCAUGUAGGAGUGGAGCGAGGGUUAGAAUACAGAUCCUGUUCCAGAGUCUGUACUCUUACUCUGUUAAAUUUAUAUGAUUGAUUCAUUCACAUGGAACUCAUGGUCAGCAGCACUGUAAUUCAUGCCACGGCAGGUACAUCACGGUCUCCUUGUGUUUGAGAAUGCUAGACAGAGCUUCAGUGCUAGCUGGGGGGCCAUUUUAAACAGUGAAGUCACCACCAGAAAAAGCACAAAAACGUGAAAAACAUGGCACUAGAUAGAACUCUCAGAAGACACUUGUGAACAAUGUGAGGGCUAAAACACAAAGGCAAACUCGCCUUAUUCCACCUUGGCUGGGAAAAUGUGCAUUGAAUGAUUCAAGAUUUUCACUGCUCUGCACAUGUUCAUGAGUGACCUUGAAAACACGUGAAAACACGUGAGUACUGAUUUUUGGGUUACAAAUACAUUUUUUUCUUUUUUGAGACGGAGUUUCACUCUUGUUGCCCAGGCUGGAGUGCAAUGAUGUGAUCUCGGCCAGGCUGUUCUCGAACUCCUGACCUCAGGUGAUCCACACGCCUCAGCCUCCCAAAAUGCU